AUUGAACGCUGGCGGCAUGCCUUACACAUGCCAGUCGAACGGCAGCACGGGUGCUUGCCCCUGGUGGCGAGUGGCGAACGGGUGAGUAAUACAUCGGAACAUGUCCUGUAGUGGGGGAUAGCCCGGCGAAAGCCGGAUUAAUACCGCAUACGAUCUACGGAUGAAAGCGGGGGACCUUCGGGCCUCGCGCUAUAGGGUUGGCCGAUAGCUGAUUAGCUAGUUGGUGGGGUAAAGGCCUACCAAGGCGACGAUCAGUAGCUGGUCUGAGAGGACGACCAGCCACACUGGGACUGAGACACGGCCCAGACUCCUACGGGAGGCAGCAGUGGGGAAUUUUGGACAAUGGGCGAAAGCCUGAUCCAGCAAUGCCGCGUGUGUGAAGAAGGCCUUCGGGUUGUAAAGCACUUUUGUCCGGAAAGAAAUCCUUGGCUCUAAUACAGUCGGGGGAUGACGGUACCGGAAGAAUAAGCACCGGCCAACUACGUG
rnacentral:rRNA from 1 species